UUAAACUGCACUGAAAUUACUAGAAGAGUUUUUGGAUACGCAGAUCAUGUUUAGGCUUAGGCACUGAAUGGCAGAUGUUAUUUGACUAAUGUAUGUGCUUUCUUGCAGUGAUAGUUUGAACUAAUUAUACUAGCUAUUUUAAACAACAGCCAAGAUAAUACAGCCUUAGAUUCUACUGCUUCAUCUCCACAGGGAGACAGGGGAGAAGUGCUACAAGGAGUAGCAACUUUAUUUCCAAGACAAACUGUGUACCCUUUGAAACACAAGAAAGCAAGAAGAGAUUCUUUCAAGACUCUUUGAUCUCCUUCCACGAUCUUUUUAUCAAUUUACAAAGGCAGAGAACCCCUGUAGCAUAAGAGUAGUGAAGAACAAGCAUUUGAACAGGUGGGAAGAGAUUCCAAAGAUGUUCCAGAUGAAAUUCAAAGAGAAAAGAUAAAUUGUGUGAAGAGCUGAAAGAAAAAAAGAAUGAUGUAGAGAUACCAUCCAAGUGAUUCAGGAGAAUAUGCUCUGCAUUGGAAGAACUCAUAUGCUCCCAAUAUAAAAUGUGUUUUAUGCAAAACAGCAUUACAGCUGCACUCACCAUGUAGUUCUCUGUUCUGCUGUUCUAGUUCACGGAGAGUAACGACCCAAACACUCCAAGAAGAAUGGCAUUUUCUUUGCUGGGGAAGUAAGUCACAAUCUAGUGUGAACAGGGUCUAUUAAGUGAGCAGUCUAGUUUAUUUUCCAGUUCUUUAGUUUUAAGAGACCUUAGGGACUACCAGUGCCCUUAGGAGAAAUAAAGAGAAAAGUUUUCUAUUUGUUUGUUUUUUA
rnacentral:lncRNA from 1 species